UCCUCGACGUCACUCGGUUAUACUUUUUUCGUAAAUUCUGUAUUACGUAUUAUACACACAUAUAUCUAUACAUAACAUAUAGAUAAUAUAUACAUAUAUAUAUAUAUCUACACACAUAUAUUGCACAUCGUGUUUAUCAUACAAGUCAAACACAGGAUAUUUAAAUACGUUAACCCAAAUACAAAAGGUGUUUCUAUCUAUCUCUUUCUUACAUGGAUAACAGCAUUUCCUAUUCUCUCGUGUAAAAUUAUUCUCUUUCUUUUAUAUUUGUUCUCUUUGUAUCUAUCUGUCUCUUUAACUCUCUUUUUCUCCUUCUCUUUUUCUUUCUAUCUUACUCUCACACCGGGUGUCCUUACCAAACACGAUAGACAACUACACGAUUACGACACCACUUAGGUUUGUGUGUGUGUAUCGCGUGGCGCGCGUUUCCCACGCGUCAAACGCGUUUAAUGGCUUACGUCUGAUUCGUGUCGGAAAGAGGAUUACGUAAAAAAAAAAAAAAAUAAAAAAUAAAAGAAGAUUUCUAUAAGAAAAUACUAAAGUUCGGGUUCAAAUAGUGGAACCCCAUCAAUUCUUCGUUUAUCAUCGAGUGGAUUCGUAGAUUGCUUCAACUCGUUUUUUUUUUUUAUUAUUAUCAUCAUCUUAUCAAUACGCAUAAAAAGAAAAUAAAGUUUCCCUUCGAUAUCAGCAUAUACGAUACUGAUAAUUAGAAAGGAACAUCCUAGAAGAGGAAGAAGAAUAAUAUUUGUGAGUGUCCUUGUUAUUUUGGGGAUUUUAUAAUAAAUAGUGAGAGUGAUUUUAUUGGGGAAAAAAAAAGAAAAAAAAUUAUCCAAAGUUUCGUCGAUCAAAAAAUGUCGACGCCUUUAAAAGCCGAACCUACCGGCGGUUGUUAUGUCAUCGAAAAUUGGAGGCAAGAUCAUCGUCGAACCUGCUAAAAGGAAGAAGAGGAAGAAGAGGAAGAAGAAAUUUAAAUUACAACA